rnacentral:rRNA from 1 species
GACGUAGGGCGCGAGCGUUGUCCGGAUUUAUUGGGCGUAAAGAGCUCGUAGGCGGUCUGUUGCGUCCGCUGUGAAAACUCGGGGCUUAACCCCGAGCCUGCAGUGGAUACGGGCAGACUAGAGGUAGGUAGGGGAGAAUGGAAUUCCCGGUGUAGCGGUGAAAUGCGCAGAUAUCGGGAGGAACACCGGUGGCGAAGGCGGUUCUCUGGGACGGUACUGACGCUGAGACGCGAAAGCGUGGGGAGCGAACAGG